rfam:Dictyostelium deminutivum 18S rRNA gene, isolate MexM19A
AACCUGGUUGAUCCUGCCAGUAGUCAUAUGCUUGUCUCAAGGAUUAAGCCAUGCAUGUCUAAGUAUAAGUCCUUGUACGACUAGACUGCAGACGGCUCAUUACAACAGUUGUUGUCUACAGGACAUCCGCGCUUUUGCGUUUUGGAUAACCGCAGUAAAUCGGGGCUAAUACAUAUAAACGAAGGAAUGACUGGUAACGGAAGUUUCUGCGAUGGAUUUAGCUAUUCAACCGGCCUUGUGUUUGUUGGAACCGAUCCAUAUUGCUAAUCGGCUAUUAGUUUACUAAUAGCCUGAUGAGUUCUAUGAACAACUGCCCUAUCAACUUGAUGGUAAGGUAUUGGCUUACCAUGGUUGUAACGGGUAACGGGGAAUCAGGGUUCGAUUCCGGAGAGGACGCCUGAGAAACGGCGUCCACAUCUACGGGUGGCAGCAGGCGCGUAAAUUACCCAAUCUCAAUAGAGAGGAGGUGGCGACAAUAAAUCCUGAUGCCUAUAGGCUCACGCCUAGGGCAAUUAGAAUAAGUACAAAAUAAAUCCAUUAACCAAUGUAAUUGGAGGGCAAGUCUGGUGCCAGCAGCCGCGGUAAUUCCAGCUCCAAUAGCGUAUACUAAUGUUGUUGCAGUUAAAACGCUCGUAGCUUAAAAACACGGAUCAUUUUUUAGCUAAAUCGAUUGCCACCUGGAAACAGGUGAGGUGAUUUAUUUGGCAUGGCACGUGCUGGUUGGGUUUGUUGGUUCGCUCUAGCAAGCUUAGUCAACUGUGCAUAAACCUUGAUGCUCAAGGUAAAGACCGUAGGUCUGUGAUACUAAGUGCAUGGUAUUGUAGAACAUGGUAACAGGUGGCUUUGUUGGUUGGGUCACUAGUGCAAUGAUUAAUAGGGAGGAGCGGGGGCCUUCAUAUUGAUGGGCGAGAGGUGAAAUUCGUUGACCCUAUCAAGAUGUCCUACAGCGAAAGCAUUGGCCAAGUGCCUCUCCAUUAGUCAAGAACGAUAGUUUGGGGAUCAAAGACGAUCAGAUACCGUCGUAGUCCAAACCAUAAACGAUGUCGACCAGUGAUUAGGCACGUCACCUUUCUAGAGAACUGCCUAGGAACUUAGUGGGAAACCAUUGAGUUUUUGGACUCUGGGGGGAGUAUGGUCGCAAGGCUGAAACUUAAAGGAAUUGACGGAAGGGCACACCAUGGAGUGGAGCCUGCGGCUUAAUUUGACUCAACACGGGAAAACUUACCAAGCUCUGAUAUGAUAAGGAUUGACAGACUAAAAGAUCUUUCAUGAUCGCAUAAGUGGUGGUGCAUGGUCGUUCUUAGUUGGUGGAGUGAUUUGUCAGGUCAAUUCCGGUAACGGACGAGACCUCGACCUGCUAACUAGUGACAAUUAGAUUGUCGUAUGGGCGAAGUUAGUUCGGCAGCUACUUAAUGGGCAACUGUUAGGUAGUUGACGUAUUGAUUGUAGCCUGGCAAUGUAGUUGUUAUAUUUUCCUUCUUAGAGGGACUUCCAGCUUUAAGUUGGAGGAAGUCCGAGGCAAUAACAGGUCUGUGAUGCCCUUAGAUAUCUUGGGCCGCACGCGUGCUACAAUGUAGGCGCUAAUAGGCAUUUUACCCUUUACCUAGAGGUAGAGGUAACCUACAAUCCCCUACGUGAUGGGGAUUGACCACUGUAACUGUGGUCAUCAACGAGGAAUUCCUUGUAGGCGUGCGUCACUAUCGCACGCCGAAUCUGUCCCUGCCCUCUGUACACACCGCCCGUCGCUCCUACCGAUCGAACGUCCAGGUAAAGUCGACGGACUGUCUUCGAAAGUUGAUAGAAAGUCCAUUGAACCUCGUCGUUUAGAGGAAGGAGAAGUCGUAACAAGGUAUCGGUAGGUGAACCUGCAGAAGGAUCAA